rfam:Allokutzneria albata strain DSM 44149 genome assembly, chromosome: I
CGAAGGUCGGUAUGGUCACUGCGAACGGCGACACAGGGAGGAAGCCGGUGCGAAUCCGGCGCGGUCCCGCCACUGUCACCCUGCGAAGGGGAGCCAGGAACUCCGGUGGCGCUGUGCCCACAC